rnacentral:rRNA from 1 species
UACGGGGGGGGCAAGCGUUGUUCGGAAUUACUGGGCGUAAAGGGCUCGUAGGCGGCCAACUAAGUCAGCCGUGAAAUCCCUCGGCUUAACCGGGGAACUGCAUCUGAUACUGGAUGGCUUGAGUUCGGGAGAGGGAUGUGGAAUUCCAGGUGUAGCGGUGAAAUGCGUAGAUAUCUGGAGGAACACCGGUGGCGAAGGCGGCAUCCUGGACCGACACUGACGCUGAGGAGCGAAAGCCAGGGGAGCAAACGGG